ACCACCCACCCCCACUUCUACACCACACCAACAGGACGACAUGACUACCAGUCUUUCGGCUGGGGCGGCCACGGAGAAAAACAAAACCCCCGAGAUGAAAGGAAACCCCCUUAUCCAAGAACCACUAUUCCAAGAAUCAACAAAUGACACUAUUGACCCAAUACUUGAUCAACGAACCAAGCUACCCUGGGGAUAACAGCGCAAUCCAUUUCAAGAGACCCCAUCGACAAAUG
rnacentral:rRNA from 1 species